GGAUCCAGACUUUGAUCCUGGCUCAGGAUGAACGCUAGCUACAGGCUUAACACAUGCAAGUCGAGGGGCAGCAUGAACUUAGCUUGCUAAGUUUGAUGGCGACCGGCGCACGGGUGAGUAACACGUAUCCAACCUUCCGUUUACUCAGGGAUAGCCUUUCGAAAGAAAGAUUAAUACCUGAUAGUAUGGUGAGGUUGCAUGAUAACACCAUUAAAGAUUCAUUGGUAAACGAUGGGGAUGCGUUCCAUUAGGUAGUAGGCGGGGUAACGGCCCACCUAGCCAACGAUGGAUAGGGGUUCUGAGAGGGAGGUCCCCCACAUUGGAACUGAGACACGGUCCAAACUCCUACGGGAGGCAGCAGUGAGGAAUAUUGGUCAAUGGGCGCGAGCCUGAACCAGCCAAGUAGCGUGAAGGAUGAAGGUCCUACGGAUUGUAAACUUCUUUUAUAAGGGAAUAAAGUCGCCUACGUGUAGGCGUUUGUAUGUACCUUAUGAAUAAGCAUCGGCUAACUCCGUGCCAGCAGCCGCGGUAAUACGGAGGAUGCGAGCGUUAUCCGGAUUUAUUGGGUUUAAAGGGAGCGUAGACGGAGGAUUAAGUCAGUUGUGAAAGUUUGCGGCUCAACCGUAAAAUUGCAGUUGAUACUGGUCCCCUUGAGUGCAGUUGAGGCAGGCGGAAUUCGUGGUGUAGCGGUGAAAUGCUUAGAUAUCACGAAGAACCCCGAUUGCGAAGGCAGCCUGCUAAGCUGUAACUGACGUUGAUGCUCGAAAGUGUGGGUAUCAAACAGGAUUAGAUACCCUGGUAGUCCACACGGUAAACGAUGGAUACUCGCUGUUGGCGAUAUACUGUCAGCGGCCAAGCGAAAGCAUUAAGUAUCCCACCUGGGGAGUACGCCGGCAACGGUGCAACUAAAGGGAAUUGACGG
rnacentral:rRNA from 1 species